rnacentral:rRNA from 1 species
UACGGGGGGGGCAAGCGUUACUCGGAAUUACUGGGCGUAAAGGGUGCGCAGGCGGUUUUGUAAGCCAGAUGUGAAAUCCCCGGGCUUAACCUGGGAACUGCGUUUGAAACUGGGGAGCUUGAGUGUGGAAGAGGGGGUGGAAUUCCAGGUGUAGCAGUGAAAUGCGUAGAGAUCUGGAGGAACACCGAUGGCGAAGGCAGCCCCCUGGGCUAACACUGACGCUCAUGCACGAAAGCGUGGGGAGCAAACAGG